GUCUGUGGCCACACCACCCAAUCUUGUCUGGUCUCGGAAGCUAAGCAGGGUCGGGCCUGGUUAGUACUUGGAUGGGAGAAAACAUGGGUGCUCUGUGCAGGUCAGGCC
rnacentral:rRNA from 1 species